UAAGCGGGAAGCCUACCUCAAGAUAAGAUUUCCCUAGGACUUUAUGUCCUCUAAAGAGCCGUUCGAGACUAGGACGUUGAUAGGUUGGAUGUGGAAGCAUAGUGAUAUGUGAAGCUGACCAAUACUAAUUGCUCGUGAGGCUUGACUAU
rnacentral:rRNA from 1 species